rnacentral:rRNA from 1 species
AUUGAACGCUGGCGGCAUGCCUUACACAUGCAAGUCGAACGGUAACAGGUCUUCGGAUGCUGACGAGUGGCGAACGGGUGAGUAAUACAUCGGAACGUGCCUAGUAGUGGGGGAUAACUACUCGAAAGAGUGGCUAAUACCGCAUGAGAUCUACGGAUGAAAGCAGGGGGUCGCAAGACCUUGUGCUACUAGAGCGGCCGAUGGCUGAUUAGGUAGUUGGUGGGAUAAAAGCUUACCAAGCCGACGAUCUGUAGCUGGUCUGAGAGGACGAUCAGCCACACUGGGACUGAGACACGGCCCAGACUCCUACGGGAGGCAGCAGUGGGGAAUUUUGGACAAUGGGCGCAAGCCUGAUCCAGCAAUGCCGCGUGCAGGAUGAAGGCCUUCGGGUUGUAAACUGCUUUUGUACGGAACGAAAAGCCCUGGGUUAAUACCCUGGGGUCAUGACGGUACCGUAAGAAUAAGCACCGGCUAACUACGUGCCAGCAGCCGCCGUAACAC